GUGGGUAUAGUUUCAAUAAAAAUGCUAGAUUGUGAUUCUAAAGACAGAGGUUAAAAUCCCCUUACCCACC
rnacentral:tRNA from 1 species